UACGGGGGAGCAAGCGUUGUUCGGAUUUACUGGGCGUAAAGGGCGCGUAGGCGGUCAGCACAAGGUCAAUUGUGAAAUCUCCGGGCUUAAACUCGGAACGGUCAAGUGAUACUGUCGUGCUAGAGUACAGAAGGGGCAACUGGAAUUCUCGGUGUAGCGGGUGAAAAUGGCGUAGAUAUCGAGAGGAACACCUGCGGCGAAGGUGGGUUGCUGGGCUGAUACUGACGCUGAGGCGCGAAAGCUAGGGGAGCGAACGGG
rnacentral:rRNA from 1 species